UUGCUUCUCUUGAGAGCGGCGGACGGGUGAGUAAUGCCUAGGAAUCUGCCUGGUAGUGGGGGAUAACGUUCGGAAACGGACGCUAAUACCGCAUACGUCCUACGGGAGAAAGCAGGGGACCUUCGGGCCUUGCGCUAUCAGAUGAGCCUAGGUCGGAUUAGCUAGUUGGUGGGGUAAUGGCUCACCAAGGCGACGAUCCGUAACUGGUCUGAGAGGAUGAUCAGUCACACUGGAACUGAGACACGGUCCAGACUCCUACGGGAGGCAGCAGUGGGGAAUAUUGGACAAUGGGCGAAAGCCUGAUCCAGCCAUGCCGCGUGUGUGAAGAAGGUCUUCGGAUUGUAAAGCACUUUAAGUUGGGAGGAAGGGUUGUAGAUUAAUACUCUGCAAUUUUGACGUUACCGACAGAAUAAGCACCGGCUAACUCUGUGCCAGCAGCCGCGGUAAUACAGAGGGUGCAAGCGUUAAUCGGAAUUACUGGGCGUAAAGCGCGCGUAGGUGGUUAGUUAAGUUGGAUGUGAAAUCCCCGGGCUCAACCUGGGAACUGCAUUCAAAACUGACUGACUAGAGUAUGGUAGAGGGUGGUGGAAUUUCCUGUGUAGCGGUGAAAUGCGUAGAUAUAGGAAGGAACACCAGUGGCGAAGGCGA
rnacentral:rRNA from 1 species